AUGGCCGGCUGCUGCGUCUUCCUCCGGCGGCCGUCGACCUCCUCCGCCCACCGCCUCGGCUACCACUCCCUGGACGGCGACCACGAGGCCGGCCCGCCCCCGGCGGCGACGGUGACGGUGGUGGUCGGCAAGGAGCGGCGGGUUUUCGCCGUGGACCAGCUGGUGCUCGACACCUACCCGUUCCGGGUGCUCCUGGAGACGGCGGCGCGGAAGGAGGAGCGCAGGAGCAAGGCCCUCUUCGUGGACGUCGACGCCAUCCUCUUCGAGCACAUCCUCUGGCUCGCCGGCUGCCACGAUCGCUCCGCCGUCUCCCUCCUCCAGCCCGACCUCAAGGACAUCAUCGACUUCUACUCCCAGGACGCCUGA
rnacentral:rRNA from 1 species